GUCUGUUAGCUAGCAGGACAAAGCAAAAACUACACGAUGGACAACUCUCACUGUCCACAAGCCAAGACGCAAAGAAUCCUAGUUUUAAAUAAAAACGCGAGACUAGUGUCUAUUACAGACACAAAGACUCUGGACAUAAAUGCACUUUGCUGUCAUGACACUGUUUUAACAUGUAACAUCCCCCAAAGCUCAAGAUAAAGUUAAUGCGUAUCAUCCUUCAUUUCCUGUUUUACUUUGAAAUUAAGUUACUAAAACUUCCUGUCCUUUAAACUUCGCGGAUUCACCUGCGCCCGCCCCUGCGCUUCCUGACCGGAAACCCCGUCACCGGGGCCUGAAACGUCACAAAGUUGCUUGAUGAGUGUUUGAGUGUGCUCACACGUCACGUCACGUUAGCUUCAUGAUGCUAACACCCUUAACUCAGCGAGUUUAAGAAGUUUUAUUGAAGUGGCUGCUGGAGGGACUCAACGCCUGACGUCACUAAGAUCCAGGCUCCAGUGGACGAGAGGAUGAUGCAGAAACUACCAAAUGGAUUUCAGCAAACCUUGGUGGAAGGAUGGGACCCAUUCAACUUUGAAAGGAUCUGGGUAAAGGACCACAGGACGUGUGAGGCAUGAGAAAAGAGGUCGGAUAGCCCCUUUCUGUGUAGCGCACUCCCUCUACCCGCCACCCGGGCUUCAUUAGCAGCUGUCUGUCAGCUAUAGGCCCCUUACACCGCUGGAUGGUUGCCUGGCAACUGGGACCCUGCUCGGCCAAUCGGGACCAGAUGCAACAGGAGUUCUGUUCUCGGCGCACGCAAGAUGGAGAAUUCUUCGCCAGUGGAACCGAUUUGGUUUUAGUAUCAUUCACUUCAAGGGCAGAGCAGACAUGGGGUCCUGCCAUGGAGCGAGGGGAGGCAGCUUGGCAUAUGUAUUGUUAAAGGCCCAGAGAAGUGCAGUGUUGAAUUUGGUUACUGAACUUUGGAUAAACAGCUCUUUGUGCAGGGUCACUUUCACAGUUUCAGGACUGAAAAGCUGCAGCUUGCAUCACCACAGACUAAAAAAACAGCCCAUUUACAACCGGAUCUGCCUAAGUGAAUAAAUAAGCACUUAAAAGUCCUUGAACAUUUGCUGUGAAGAGGAAAAUAAAAAAGGUAUUUUAGAAAUGUGGGAGGAUCGGGUAAAAACUCAACAGUCUCUUAGCAACAUCAGUGCAGGUAGACCUUAAAAAAAAAAAAGAAGAUCCAUGCGUCUGCUCUGUGUGUAAUUCUAACAUCAUGUAUCACCCUGGGAAAACAUCCACUGUGCUCAAGAGCAGCAUGAUGGAGAGGAACAACACGACAAAGAGCAGAAUAUGUUUGGUUCAAUGAACUGAGAGGAUAAGAAAACCUCAUAAGAAAGAGAGAAAUGUGUCUCGAUAUUGCUCCUUUGAACAGUGAUGCAGAGUUCGAGUCCUACAACAGAAGAUA